GACCCAUUAGCUCAGUUGGUUAGAGUGUCGUGCUAAUAACGCGAAGGUCUUAGGUUCAAGACCUGCAUGCGCCA